AGCUGAGCCAGGAAAAGAAGAGAUCUUGCUGUGAAGACCAUGACUAUUGGACAUACUGUGGAGAAGUGAGACUGAUUCUAUGAGCAGUCUUUUAAUAAGUCAUUUAGAACCUUAAA